CCUACGGGGCGCACCAGUGGGGAAUAUUGGACAAUGGGCGAAAGCCUGAUCCAGCAAUGCCGCAUGUGUGAAGAAGGUCUUCGGAUUGUAAAGCACUUUCGACGGGGACGAUGAUGACGGUACCCGUAGAAGAAGCCCCGGCUAACUUCGUGCCAGCAGCCGCGGUAAUACGAAGGGGGCUAGCGUUAAUCGGAAUUACUGGGCGUAAAGCGCACGCAGGCGGUUUGUUAAGUCAGAUGUGAAAUCCCCGGGCUUAACCUGGGAACUGCAUUUGAGACGCAUAGACCAGAGGUCGAGAGAGGGUUGUGGAAUUCCCAGUGUAGAGGUGAAAUUCGUAGAUAUUGGGAAGAACACCGGUGGCGAAGGCGGCAACCUGGCUCGAUACUGACGCUGAGGCGCGAAAGCGUGGGGAGCAAACAGGAUUAGAUACCCGUGUAGUC
rnacentral:rRNA from 1 species